rnacentral:lncRNA from 1 species
AAACUUGGCUUCGUUGAAUAAUUGACUUAGACAAUUAAAUGGUUCAGUAUUUUUAUUGUAGUUGAUUAUGCGGGAUUUCAAUUAGUUUUAUGAAUGUAAUAUUGCAUUUGGGAUUUCUAUGAAAUGAAAAUAGUUCUCUACCCCUCGUGGUAGGUGUUUUUAAAAGAAAAGGUUUCCGGGUGGGAAACAGCUUUUAAAAGAGUUUUCUCGUAGUUUUCCUGACUUAGUAUUUCAAAAUAAGUUUCCGGGUAUGAAACAUUUCAACUAAUAGUUGUGGUUUUAUUAUUAGACUCUGAAAGUAAAUCUAUUGGUGAAUGGUGUAUGAAUGUAUAAAUGUUGAAUGUUUGUAUAUUCAGCUGUGGUGGUUGUAUUCCCGUUAUAUACCUUGUACUUGUGCGACGCCGUGCAAAUACAUGGGAGACUCUAUCCGUAUGAACAGUGGACUCCCUAUAUUUGUGACGGAUCUGGCAUACCCUGGGGGUCAGGUUUUCAAAAAAAAAAUUUUGGACACUUCCGCUGUGUUUUUAAACUAAAAAGAGACCCCGGAGCGUGACAAUAAGAGAAUAAUAUCGAAAAUAUAUGAAAUUUGAUUUCUAAACACUUCAAAUGGUAUAGAUCAUGUUCAACGGCGCCGAUUGUCGAUUUGGAGGCUCCAUCAUCGAAAACAAAUGGGUGGCAACGGAGCCCGUUUGCUACCGAUAGUAUUCUGGCUCAACUCUAUAUAUAUCCCAUUUGUUUUCGAUGAUAGAGCCUCCAAAUCGACGAUUGGCACCAUUGAACAUGAUCUAUACCACUUGAAGUGUUUAGAAAUCAAAUUUUAAAUCUUUUCGACAUCAUUUGCCUAAUGAUCAAAGGGUUUCAAAAUUUGUAAUUUUAAUGGUCGAUAUGAGGAGUUUUCUCAUUUAACAGCGUAAAGAUAUCCAAAUCAAUUAAAUUUUUGUUAGAAAAUUCUUUAAACUAUUUAAAACAAGAUCUAUACUCUUGAUCUUGAUUACAAAACUUCUAUCAUCAUUUUUUAAAGAAUAUUCAUUUUCAGCCGUUCAUUUUUAUGUCAACUCGAUGGAUAAAAGAACAAUAUCGAAAAUGUAUGAAAUUUGAUUUCUAAAUACUUCAAGUGGUAUAGAUCAUGUUCAACGGUGUCAAUCAUCGAUUUGGAGGCUCCAUCAUCGAAAACAAAUGGGUGGCAACGGAGCCCGUUUGCUAUCGAUAGUAUUCUAGCUCAACUCUCUCUCUCUCUCUCUCUAUAUAUAUAUAUAUUGUUUUUAGAUAUAUUAAAAUAUCUUAUUAUUAUUAUUAUUAUUAUUUAAUGUGUUAAUAAUAUUAAUUAAAAUAUCUUAUAAUUAUUAUCAUGAUGAUGAUGAUAAUUACUACUGUAAUAAUUAAUACCAGUGCUACUAUCAUAUUAUAUUAUAUUAUAUCAUAUUAUGUUAUAUACAUCUUUAUUAUUUUUAUAAAUUUAUAUUAUAUGUUAUCUUAUAAUAUAUUAUAUUAUAUAAUAUAAAAUAAAAUGUUAUAUAAUGCUAUAAAUAUAUUUAAUAUAUAAUGUUUUAAAAUAUAGUCUUUAAUUAUUUAUUUAUAUUAUAUGUAAGUAUUUUAAUAUAUUACUAUUGAAGAAUAUUAUAUAAUAUUAUGCGUAAACUUCAAAUACCACCUUGUGAUUUCGUAUUUUCUCAUUUUAAUACCUUAUAGUUUAAAGUAUAUCAUUUUAAUAUACUGUGAUUUUAUUUUCUCUUUCCGUUAGUACUUUCUUUAACUCUCUAUUAAAUCAUAUACAAAAAAUUUUAGAUACCCUACCGAUGGUUUAUCAAAUAUUUAUUUUAAUGCCUUGUGAUUUAAUAAAUUUUCACUUUAGUAUCCUGUAGUUUAACUUUGUUAUUGAUUUAACAAAAAAAUUAAUGUAGAAAAUAACGGAAAAAAAAAAUAAAGCCACAUGAUACUAAAGUGAUACAUUUUAAAUAAUAGGGUACUAAAGUGAGAAAGCAUGAAACAGAGGGAUAUUAUUUGAAGUUUUUUCCUAAUAUUAUUGAAAUGACCGGUGCGCUUUUUCUAUCAGCAUGCGCUUUGGGAUUGCUUGUUAGCGCUUACAAUCUGCCAAUUUUUUGCUAAAAUUUUUUAUUCAUGAAAUCUAAUGACAGAGAAUGAUCUUUCCAGUAUAUCUAUGCUAGCACCAAAAAAAUCACCUCUCGGAGU